AAACUUUCAACAACGGAUCUCUUGGUUCUGGCAUCGAUGAAGAACGCAGCGAAAUGCGAUAAGUAAUGUGAAUUGCAGAAUUCAGUGAAUCAUCGAAUCUUUGAACGC
rnacentral:misc_RNA from 1 species